rnacentral:pre_miRNA from 1 species
CAUGUACCAGUGGGGUCCCUCGGCCUGGCCUGCGGGAUUGGGCCAAAACUGGCUCUCCGACAUCCCCCGAUGGUCCCGGAUUGUGAGAGGGCGCAGGCCAGGCCGAGGGACCUCACCGGUGCACA